rnacentral:rRNA from 1 species
GAGGCAGUCUUUCUUAUCGACUUCGGUUAACCAAGAAAGAAGAGUAGCGAACGGGUGAGUAACACGUGGGUAACCUGCCCAUCAGCGGGGGAUAACACUUGGAAACAGGUGCUAAUACCGCAUAAUAUUUUUUCUCUCAUGAAUGAAAGUUGAAAGGCGCUUUUGCGUCACUGAUGGGUGACAGGUGGUGCAUGGUUGUCGUCAGCUCGUGUCGUGAGAUGUUGGGUUAAGUCCCGCAACGAGCGCAACCCUUAUUGUUAGUUGCCAUCAUUUAGUUGGGCACUCUAGCGAGACUGCCGGUGACAAACCGGAGGAAGGUGGGGAUGACGUCAAAUCAUCAUGCCCCUUAUGACCUGGGCUACACACGUGCUACAAUGGGAAGUACAACGAGUUGCGAAGUCGCGAGGCUAAGCUAAUCUCUUAAAGCUUCUCUCAGUUCGGAUUGUAGGCUGCAACUCGCCUACAUGAAGCCGGAAUCGCUAGUAAUCGCGGAUCAGCACGCCGCGGUGAAUACGUUCCCGGGCCUUGUACACACCGCCCGUCACACCACGAGAGUUUGUAACACCCGAAGUCGGUGAGGUAACCUCGAGGAG